rnacentral:hammerhead_ribozyme from 1 species
AUCCAACUGACGAGUCCUAAAUAGGACGGAAUGCGUGUUUUGGAU